GACGAACGCUGGCGGCGUGCCUAAUACAUGCAAGUAGAACGCUGAAGAGAGGAGCUUACUCUUCUUGGAUGAGUUGCGAACGGGUGAGUAACGCGUAGGUAACCUGCCUUGUAGCGGGGGAUAACUAUUGGAAACGAUAGCUAAUACCGCAUAACAAUGGAUGACACAUGUCAUUUAUUUGAAAGGGGCAAUUGCUCCACUACAAGAUGGACCUGCGUUGUAUUAGCUAGUAGGUGAGGUAAUGGCUCACCUAGGCGACGAUACAUAGCCGACCUGAGAGGGUGAUCGGCCACACUGGGACUGAGACACGGCCCAGACUCCUACGGGAGGCAGCAGUAGAGAAUCUUCGGCAAUGGGGGCAACCCUGACCGAGCAACGCCGCGUGAGUGAAGAAGGUUUUCGGAUCGUAAAGCUCUGUUGUAAGUCAAGAACGGGUGUGAGAGUGGAAAGUUCACACUGUGACGGUAGCUUACCAGAAAGGGACGGCUAACUACGUG
rnacentral:rRNA from 1 species